AAUGGCUGCAAAUUGAAUCCAAUAGACUGAAUUAAUCUGCUUUUUUUUUCUAGUCUUCGCUUUUCCAUCCGUUGCCUAACGGUAGGAGCGAUUUUGAGAGGUGUAUUUUACUGCAGCGAAUUCCAAGUACCUUGAAAGCUGCUGAAAAAUAUUCUUUGUUAACUUGGUCAUCAUUCCAAUCUUGGAGGACCUUUAAAAACUUCGAAGUUUCAGCAUCCAAUUGCGUGAGUGGCACUAUGGCCAAACUUGCACCUAGCAAAUAUCUUUGAUCUUGUGUGAUUAGAAGCUGGGUUAUCCUAUGCACGUUAUUGGGCCUUUAGCCUAUCUUCCUUUUCCUUUCAUCUAAACUGCGAUUUCCCCCAGCAUCCAUUUGUCUGUCAGCACAUUCACGGGCCCUCAAAUGUUCAUCAAAUGUCUGUCCUACACCUGUCGGCAACAGUAACCCAAUAUUGGGUUCAAAAUGACUUCAGCUAAUUGAGUGCUGCUCUCGAUGCCUUCAGGAAAUAUUAUCAAGAGUGCUGAGCGG